rnacentral:rRNA from 1 species
CCUACGGGAGGCAGCAGUAGGGAAUAUUGCUCAAUGGGGGAAACCCUGAAGCAGCAACGCCGCGUGGAGGAUGAAGGUUUUCGGAUUGUAAACUCCUUUUGUUAGAGAAGAUAAUGACGGUAUCUAACGAAUAAGCACCGGCUAACUCCGUGCCAGCAGCCGCGGGAAUACGGAGGGUGCAAGCGUUAUUCGGAAUCACGGGGCGUAAAGAGCGCGUAGGCGGGAUAGCAAGUCAGAUGUGAAAUCCUAUGGCUUAACCAUAGAGCUGCAUUUGAAACUGUUAUUCUAGAGUAUGGGAGAGGUAGGUGGAAUUCUUGGUGUAGGGGUAAAAUCCGUAGAGAUCAAGAGGAAUACUCAUUGCGAAGGCGACCUGCUAGAACAUAACUGACGCUGAUGCGCGAAAGCGUGGGGAGCAAACAGGAUUAGAUACCCUUGUAGUC